UGGGGAAUAUUGCACAAUGGGGGAAACCCUGAUGCAGCGACGCCGCGUGAACGAAGAAGGUAUUCGUAUCGUAAAGUUCUUUCCUAUGGGAAGAUAAUGACAGUACCAUAGAAGAAAGCUCCGGCUAAAUACGUGCCAGCAGCCGCGGUAAUACGUAUGGAGCGAGCGUUGUCCGGAAUUAUUGGGCGUAAAGGGUACGCAGGCGGUUUAAUAAGUCGAAUGUUAAAGAUCGGGGCUCAACCCCGCAAAGCAUUGGAAACUGAUAAACUUGAGUAGUGGAGAGGAAAGUGGAAUUCCUAGUGUAGUGGUGAAAUACGUAGAUAUUAGGAGGAAUACCAGUAGCGAAGGCGACUUUCUGGACACAAACUGACGCUGAGGUACGAAAGCGUAGGGAGCAAACAGG
rnacentral:rRNA from 1 species